GAUUAACGCUAGCGGCAGGCCUAAUACAUGCAAGUCGAACGGUAACAGGUGUAGCAAUACAUGCUGACGAGUGGCGCACGGGUGCGUAACGCGUAUGCAACCUACCUAUAACUGGGGAAUAGCUCUUCGAAAGAAGAAUUAAUACCGCAUAAAAUUUUUGGGAGACAUCUCCCGAUUAUCAAAAACUCCGGUGGUUAUAGAUGGGCAUGCGUGACAUUAGCUAGUUGGGAGGUAACGGCCCACCAAGGCUACGAUGUCUAGGGGUCUGAGAGGAUGAUCCCCCACACUGGUACUGAGACACGGACCAGACUCCUACGGGAGGCAGCAGUAAGGAAUAUUGGACAAUGGGGGCAACCCUGAUCCAGCCAUGCCGCGU
rnacentral:rRNA from 1 species